GACGAACGCUGGCGGCGUGCCUAAUACAUGCAAGUAGGACGCAGUUGCGAACGGGUGAGUAACGCGUAGGUACCUACCUAGUAGAGGGGGAUAACUAUUGGAAACGAUAGCUAAUACCGCAUACUAGUAGAUGGACCUGCGUUGUAUUAGCUAGUAGCUAGGGUAAUGGACUAUCUAGGCAACGAUACAUAGCCGACCUGGGAGGGUGAUCGGCCAAACUGGGACUGAGACACGGCCCAAACUGCUACGGGGGGCAGCAGUAGGGAAUCUGCGGCAAUGGGGGGAACGCUGACCGAGCAACGCCGCGUGAGUGAAGAAGGUUUUCGGAUCGGUAAGCGCUGUUGUUAAGGAAGCGGUACUUAACCAAAAAGGGACGGCUAACUACGUGCCAGCAGCCGCGGUAAUUC
rnacentral:rRNA from 1 species